AGGUGCUAUUGUCAGUCGUCGGAGACGUCGACCAGUGCUAAGUUUGGCGAAGAAAAUAGAAGACUUCCAUCCUAUAUAUGCCAUACAUGGCUUGGUUCAGAUUCUAGAACAAAGAAAACCUCUAUAAAACACUGACAUCUUCUGGAUUUACAUGGCUUCAAGCGAUUUCAACAAAUCUCAGGCCGAGAGAAAGCAUAAUUAAUCUCUCAGAACAUCCCAACAAUCGGCGAAGGAAGGAAAUAGCAGAGCUCUUGGCGACCCACUCUCGCCUUAUGGGCUACAAAGAACCCAACGAGACACCGACCUCGACUCAGAACAACCUUUCACCAUCAAUAACCAAGGACUCUCACUGAUGUCUGAUUUGUCGUAAUCUGCGAAACACAUAAACAAUAAGAAACAGAACAUAACCAUAGGAAUAAAGCAGCAUCAAGAACCCUCAGCACAAUUGCCCAGUUGCUCAAAAACAAACCAAAAUCAAUAUUUACAUCCCAACACCGGAGCUGGGGAGGGAACCCACUGCCAGGACAAGUGGAAGAAGGCCCUCCCCUCUCUAGAGGGGUAGAGUAAGACUAACGCUACGACAAAAGACUGAAAACAAGUUCUAGAGAAAAGAAAAAGCUAGAGAGAUAGAAGAGUCUUUGUGUUCUGA
rnacentral:misc_RNA from 1 species